rnacentral:pre_miRNA from 1 species
AGAUGGGUGAGUUUGCCAAAUUAGUGACUUUAAAUACUGAAUUUGCGAACGACCCUGUCCAA